GCGGCCGGCGAUAGCAAGUUGAAUGCAACAGUUCUAAAUGGACAACCUAAGUUAAGCAAUGUUGCGCGUGGUUAGUAUCCGUAUAAGUGACCAUCUGGGCAAUGGCGUGCCGAACGCU
rfam:Asian citrus Psyllid, Diaphorina citri - Florida Strain, whole genome shotgun sequence.